rnacentral:tRNA from 1 species
AGCAGUGCGGCUUAAUGGAUAGAGCACCAGCCUGGAAGUCAGAAGGACCUGGGUUCUAUUUCCAGCUCUGCCA